CGGCCCGUACCCCCCAGGAUGUUUCUCCAGAUCCAUUGGCUUUUUGCUCCUGGAGGGUCCAGGGCAUGGUCCCCCUGUCUUCACCCCAUCAACUGCCUGGAGGUGCAGAGAACGACUCAGGGGAGUCUUCAUCUAUCUCCUUUAUGGAGAAGUUCUGGAGAACAGAAGUCAGAAAUCAAGAUGUUGGCAGGUUGGGUUCCUUGUGGAGCUGAGAGGGAGAAUCACUUCCACACUUUUCUCCCAGCUCACAACCCAUGGAACACCUUGACCUGUAGACACAUCCAUUCCCACUCUCUCCAUCUUCAAAUGACAUCUCCAGGUGUCGUCUCCUCUUCUUAAAAGUACAGCAGUCAUUGGACUUAGGGCCUGCCCCCCAGUACAGGAUGAUUCUUCUUGAGAGAUUGGAUGAUACCUGCAGAGGCCUUAUUUCAAAUAAAGUCCCAGCCUGAGGUU